rnacentral:rRNA from 1 species
CCUACGGGUGGCAGCAGUGGGGAAUAUUGGACAAUGGGGGGAACCCUGAUCCAGCGACGCCGCGUGAGUGAAGAAGUAUUUCGGUAUGUAAAGCUCUAUCAACAGGGAAGAAAAUGACGGUACCUGAAUAAGAAGCCCCGGCUAACUACGUGCCAGCAGCCGCGGUAAUACGUAGGGGGCAAGCGCUAUCCGGAUUUACUGGGUGUAAAGGGAGCGUAGACGGUGCAGCAAGUCUGAUGUGAAAGGUCGGGGCCCAACCCCGGGAAUGCAUUGGAAACUGUUGAACUGGAGUGCAGGAGAGGUAAGCGGAAUUCCUAGUGUAGCGGUGAAAUGCGUAGAUAUUAGGAGGAACACCAGUGGCGAAGGCGGCUUCCUGGACUGUAACUGACGUUGAGGCUCGAAAGCGUGGGGAGCAAACAGGAUUAGAUACCCGGGUAGUC